rnacentral:rRNA from 1 species
UGGGGAAUAUUGGACAAUGGGCGCAAGCCUGAUCCAGCAAUGCCGCGUGUGUGAAGAAGGCCUUCGGGUUGUAAAGCACUUUUAUCUGGAGCGAAAUCUGCAGGGCUAAUACCCAUGCAGUCUGACGGUACCAGAGGAAUAAGCACCGGCUAACUUCGUGCCAGCAGCCGCGGUAAUACGUAGGGUGCAAGCGUUAAUCGGAAUUACUGGGCGUAAAGCGUGCGCAGGCGGUUUUGUAAGACAGAGGUGAAAUCCCCGGGCUCAACCUGGGAACUGCAGUGGAUACUGGGAAGCUAGAGUGCGGUAGAGGGUAGUGGAAUUCCCGGUGUAGCGGUGAAAUGCGUAGAGAUCGGGAGGAACACCAGUGGCGAAGGCGGCUACCUGGACCAGCACUGACACUGAGUCACGAAAGCGUGGGGAGCAAACA